AGUCGAGCGGGGUGAGGUGCUUCGGUACUGAUCCUAGCGGCGGACGGGUGAGUAUUGCUUAGGAAUCUGCCUAUUAGUGGGGGACAACAUUCCGAAAGGAAUGCUAAUACCGCAUACGUCCUACGGGAGAAAGCAGGGGAUCUUCGGACUUUGCGCUAAUAGAUGAGCCUAAGUCGGAUUAGCUAGUUGGUGGGGUAAAGGCCUACCAAGGCGACGAUCUGUAGCGGGUCUGAGAGGAUGAUCCGCCACACUGGGACUGAGACACGGCCCAGACUCCUACGGGAGGCAGCAGUGGGGAAUAUUGGACCAUGGGCGGAAGCCUGAUCAAGCCAUGCCGCGUGUGUGAAGAACGCUUUUUGGUUGUAAUGCACUUUAAGCGAGGAGGAGGCUACCUAGAUUACUACUCUGGGAUAGGGGACGUUCCUCGCAAAAUAAGUAUCCGGCUAACUCUGUGCC
rnacentral:rRNA from 1 species